CAUAGGAAACAUUUUGAACAAAAUGUUAAAUAACCAUUUCAACUUGAUACUACAUAAAUGAAAGACAAAGAUGCAUAACACACUUGUCGUUUUUAAUUGAAAGGAAACCUGCAGCCCCUGAUGACUCAAUAAAAUGGUCUCUAGCCUAGACAGUAUUUUAUCAAUAUCUGUAUGCAUCGGUGUAACAAGAUGUUCAGAUUGUCAAAGAAAACAUUUUCAUGAUCACUGGGAGGUGAUAGUGACCUAUCAGUUAGUUUGCAGACCACCAAAUAUGUGUGGUGAAUUUUAGUAUUUAAUACAGCACUGUUCAUUUGUUAAAGUAUGGCAGAGUAAAAAAAAUAUAUAUAUAUUACUAAGAUUGUUUUCUAUAGAAUUUGUACAGUGGUCAAACAAGUACAAACAUUUAGAAUGUGGACGUGAAAAACAAAUUAGAAGUAAACAGUUCCCUCCAAAAGUAUUGGAACAGCAAAGUAAACUUGUUUUUGUUGUACAGUAUACUGGACAUUUGAGUUUCAUACCAAAUGAUUUAUAUGAGAAAUUCUAAAUUCCAUCUUUUAUUUCAUAGUAUUUACAUAGGUGUAGGUAGGAAAGAGCACCAUUUUUUUUUUUUAAAUCACCCACUUUUCACGUGAACAACAGUAUUGGAACAUGUGACUGAUGGGUGUUUCUAGUUACUCAGGUUUUACAUUUUAGAUUGGAUUGGAUUACAUAAACAUUAGAUAGUGUUUGAUUUUGCCUUUGAAUUUCACUUGUAAAUAACUAUCGUUGAUGUUAAGCAAACAUGAAGGCCAAAGAGUUGUUUAUGGAAGAAAAGCAAACAAUUUUGAAGCUGGCAGGAGAGGGGAAACUCAAUCAGAUUGCACAAAUAUUGGAGACUGCCAGCAUAAUUUGGAAUGUUCUGAAAAAGAAAAACUACUGGUGUAAUGAGCAACAGAUAUCGAACAGGUCGGCCAAGGAUGUCAAGAGUAGCUUUGAAGAAAAACAACAUUCCGUCACAUCACUACUAACGUCUACAGGGCAGUGGGGUGGAUAAGGUAUCACAAUACACUCUUCAAAGAAGACUUUGAGAGAAGAAAUAUACAGGUUAUGCUUAAAGAUACAAACCAAUCAUCAUCAAAAAAAAUUGGAAUGCCAAAUUGGAUCUUGCAAAGAAGUACUGAGAUAACCCACAAAGGUGUUAUGGACUGAUGAGACCAAGAUAAACUUCUUCCAAAGUGAUGGAAAGCCCACAUUAUGCAGAAAGACUGGUCAAUGCUUUACAAUUUUUACCACGGACCGGGUGGGGGUGGGGGUUACGUACAUUAGAUUGUUUGUAUUGAAUAUCAUUUGUAUUGACAAUUGAAUAUAAUAAUGAAAUAUAUAAAAUAAUAAACGUAAAAAUACAUGUGGAAAAAAAAGAACAAGAACCAGCAAUUCCACAUUCCUCUCUCUUUUAUCUUUACAUAUCUACACAACAGUUAAUUUUUUUAAAAUUAUUAAACACUCAAUUUUUCAACAGAUUAAAUAAAUUGGUCAGUUUGAACCAUCUCCUCUUCUUUCCCCUCUGCCUCAUUUCACUCUGUUGGCGACCACAAUGCUCUUACUGGUCACUAUAACAAUGUUUAUACAUGCCUUCAAGAUAAGAUAAGAUACACAACGAAAAUGAAUCGAAAGUGCAUGAAAAUUUUAACUCACCAUAACGCUAACACCUGAGCUUGUUUCUCUGCAACGAGAUGGUCCCAUCUGUGGGUAAUGCGAGACAAUGACACCGAAAUGUGUUGUUUAUGUCCAAUUUAUUCCGUUGUUUUGUUUUGGUUAUGGUCACUCCAGAAAACUCUGCUUCACAUAGAUAAGAUGUUCGAAAUGGCAACAGAGUUUUCAGUGCUUUAGUGGCGAUCUCCGGGUAUUCUCCCAUGACUUUAAUCCAGAACGUGGGCAGAGUUGUUGUCUUGAAAAUACCUUUAAGGCCACUGUCGUUUGCAAUCUCCAGCAGUUGAUCCUGUUGCACAUACAUGCUGGAUUCACCUCAUUUGUUGAUAAAUGGGUGACGGAUCCAUCCCUUGGCAGUUUGCAGGGGCUGAGUCGACGGGAAAGACCGUGGCCACAGCACUUCAGGCCCUUUGCGGGACUGGGCCUCGACUUUGCAUCUGGAGGCUGAGGGUUGACGAGAAGCCGAUGGAAGUAAAGGCAUCUCUGGUGAGUAGGAAACUCCCACACUCAUGAGGAAUGAGUGAAUGCGCGUCUGGGUGACUGCGGCAGAACCAAACCUAGAGAAUACUAGUCCCUAUCGAGCAGACUAAUUAGUCUAUAAAACUGAGAAAUGGGCAAGGUGUGUCCUGUACGUGAGCUCCGUGAAACGUGUGCAUGUGUAAAAGUGUGAGUGGAGGUUCGCUACCUCAUUUGAACAGGAAAUUGAGUGACAACUGUUUGAGGAUGCAGAGGUAAGAUAACACAAUAUGACUUUGCUGGCCAGCUCAACAUACACACAAAAAAAUCUAUGUAGUUAACCUGCAGGAUAAAAUAAGAGAAACACACACACACAAAAAAAAAAACAACUGCAGUCAAGAUGAUGUGAAAACGGCCAUAAAAGGUAUCACAUCUCAUAAAGUUGACGGAACAUAAUUCGUCCAGGGAAUGGAAGACUUGAGAAAAUCUUAACACUUAAAUGGUGUGGAAGUACAACAAAUUUGGAUGACAGCAAAGUACUCUCUCACAGCAGCAGGGAGUUCAAGGGUUAAUAUUGCACUCUUCUGCUAGAUUAAGAAAAAAAUAUUUUUUUUCUGCCAUUGGAAGAGCAAAAUAAAACAACAGUGAACCAUUUGAAGAAUAUAGAAUUGGAAUGACUGCAUGUUUUAAAGCAAACAGUGGCAUUCCUGAAGAUCAAACUCCAGGGAGUGUGUAUCAAGGGCAAUUAAAAAUGUUCUUCAUGCAAAUUCAAAUAAUCCUACAAAACAAUGGAUUGGAAAAACAUUGGCAGUCUGUAACAAUACGUUAACCAAGCACUACACGCAGAAAGAGUGAAAAAAAAAAAAUAAAAAAAAAGUUGACACCUUUCUGACAGAGGAAGGAGAAAUUUAUGGAGCUUUAUGCGAAACAUUUAAUAAGUUUGGCCACAGAUGAGGAAGGGAGCAGCCAUCUCCCCAUCAAAAAUGUCACAACUAAUGCUCCCAAAUUGCAACUUUUGAAUUUGCCCCAUACGUUUGUUGGGAAGAGAUGGCUUGCUGAAAUUAGGACUGGGCUUAAUUCACUCUCUGACAGGAAAUAUAGAAGUAAAAAUAAAAAAAGGAAGUACUGGGCGGACAGUUAAAUAUCUUACAAAAUAGGAAUCCAGCACUCUAUUAUUACACCUUACAUAUUCCAAACAAACCUCCCACAAGAACAGAUUUCUUGCUGCAAACAGCUCGAGACAUGAUUGAACAACCACAAAAUGACGUAGGAAGUGACUCAUUGCAUGUGACUAUGUAGUAUAAGAUACUGAAAACUUAUAACAGCCCACACCAGACAAAAUCAUGAUUGAUAAUCUGAACUCAGAUGGUACAUCAGUCAUGGUGGCAUGAACAAGACUGACUGACAAACUGAAUGCAUUACACAAGGAAUGGACACCACCACACACGUCAUUACAAACUUAACAGGAGUGGAAGAGUUUGGGACAAUUUGUAUUGGUAGUAUGAAAUGUUCCUGAUUGGACAGAAAAAGAACCAAAUUUGGAUUGGGACGACUGAACUUUACAGACAAUAUCUUAUUGGACAGUCUUAAACAAUCUGAAACCAGAUGUUGCUGUAUUCACGGUUGUAUAACAAUCUACACAGACAAUACUGGAAAAAUAGAGAAAUAGUGACAACUACAGGGAGCACAGUGACACAUGCAGAGCUACUAGAAAAUUUGCCCAUAGCAGUUCAAUUACCAAAAGAAAUAGCCAUAUGUAAAUGUGCAGUACACACAUCAAAUACAGACAAAGUAUCAUUAGGAAAUGGAUUUACAGAUAAAACAGCAAAAGAAGUAGCAGCCAAAACUUUUAUGGGAUUUGCUCACCAUGCAACAAAUGAAGACGUACUUUCAGAAGAUGUGGGAACCAAAAUGCAACAACAAAGCUGACCUCUUCUGUAAUAUGUUUCUUCUUCCAUGCUUCACACUAUUAAUGUUUUCUGUGGUCCUGCCUCUGCCCUUUUGUACAGUCUUCCUCCGGGAGAGAUGGGCAACCAUGUUUCAGAACAGGCGGUCUUCUUCAUUCGAAAUACGAUCGAAGACAUCAUGUGGCUAGAAUGGAAACAUCUCCUCCAACCCGGAUUUGAAAUCUUCGAUGCGUUUAAGCGGUCUUCCUGACAAUCGUCGAUCUUUCAGAAUUUUCAUCAGCUCUUGCAUAUCAGCGUAUAACGAUUAAACCUUCUCUAACAUCUUGUUUUCCGCAACUGUUGGCAUCCUUGCUUUCUGGUAAAAAAUUACGACUUCCUGAACGACAGAUUUUGCGGCUUCCCUGAUAGGCUUGGGACGUCUCGUCUUUGGAAUUCCUUUUUUGCAGCAAUGAAUGACAGAAGAAUCUCUUUUCUGGAAGGAAGUUUGGCUCCUUUCAUGGCUUUAUCAUCCGUGGUUGGGACGGUCCCAAGCAAAAAAUACCGCGGGUCUUUUUGUUUCGCAGCAGCCAUGUUGAUAGUUCAAUGACUUCGCGUUAACAGAGGUAAACACCAACUAGGGCUGAGAGGUCAGCCUGCUCAAGGAUUUCAUGAGUGCGU